rnacentral:rRNA from 1 species
GUCGAGAAUUUUUCACAAUGGGCGAAAGCCUGAUGGAGCGACGCCGCGUGGGGGAUGAAGGGCUUCGGCUCGUAAACCCCUGUCAUUUGCGAACAAGGACGCCGACCUAACACGUCGUCGUUUGAUAGUAGCAGAAGAGGAAGGGACGGCUAACUCUGUGCCAGCAGCCGCGGUAAUACAGAGGUCCCAAGCGUUGUUCGGAUUCACUGGGCGUAAAGGGUGCGUAGGUGGUGGUCUAAGUCGGGUGUGAAAUCUCCGGGCUCAACCCGGAGGCUGCGCUCGAAACUGGAUCGCUAGAGGAUGGGAGGGGAGACUGGAAUUCUCGGUGUAGCAGUGAAAUGCGUAGAUAUCGAGAGGAACACCGGUGGCGAAGGCGAGUCUCUGGACCAUUCCUGACACUGAGGCACGAAAGCCGGGGGAGCAAACAGGAUUAGAUACCCUUGUAGUCC